GGAAGCGUGGCCGAGUGGUUUAAGGCAGUGCUCUUGAAAAGCACCGAGGGGUGAAACCCUCCGUGAGUUCGAAUCUCACCGCUUCCGCCA
rnacentral:tRNA from 1 species